UACGUAGGGCGCAAGCGUUGUUCGGAAUUACUGGGCGUAAAGCGCACGUAGGCGGAUUGCUAAGUCAGGGGUGAAAUCCUGGAGCUCAACUCCAGAACUGCCUUUGAUACUGGCGAUCUUGAGUCCGGGAGAGGUGAGUGGAACUGCGAGUGUAGAGGUGAAAUUCGUAGAUAUUCGCAAGAACACCAGUGGCGAAGGCGGCUCACUGGCCCGGUACUGACGCUGAGGUGCGAAAGCGUGGGGAGCAAACAGG
rnacentral:rRNA from 1 species